ACAACUUUUGUGUUCAUACAAGCAAAUGCAUUGUGAACACUGCAUAUUCUAUUCCAAAUCAAAGCACGAAGAAAAAGUUAUCAAAUUUGUUAUUACUUUACAGAAAGUGAAG